CUCCUCAUUUUGUCAGCAUAUACACUUAAAUUGGAAUGAUAUGGAGAGAUUAGCAUGGCCCUUGUGCAAGUAUGACAUGCAAAUUCUAAAAGUGUUCCAUAAUUUU
rnacentral:snRNA from 1 species